CUCUUCAUGUAACAGACAGAAGACCACUUCUCAACUCUCAUUUCCAAAAUAAACAUAAAUAGAGUACCCUGUUUUUGAGGAAUUGUGAGAAGAAUGAAGAAAAUGUACAUCCAAUAGUCAUGAACAGGUUCCACUAGCUUACUCCCAUAAGAAUCAAGGAUUUCAAAGACAAAACACUGGUGACUAUACCCCAGAAUAAAAGAUCUAGAAAGUUUUGCAGUUAAGCAACCUGUUUAAAAUAACUUAAAAUUUUCUACUCAAAGAACAAGUCAUCACAAGAUUGUAGCAAUAAACUCAAUAAAAAGGAAAAAAAAAAGAUCUGAGAGAUGCCUCACCCCUUCUGCCAUGUGACGACAAAGAAAAAAGGUUCCAUCUAUAAGAAAGCAGGAUCUCGCCAGAUGCUGAACCUGCCAGCAACUUCGCCUUAGAUU